rnacentral:rRNA from 1 species
UAGGGAAUCUUCCGCAAUGGGCGAAAGCCUGACGGAGCAACGCCGCGUGAGUGAUGAAGGUCUUCGGAUCGUAAAACUCUGUUAUUAGGGAAGAACAAAUGUGUAAGUAACUAUGCACGUCUUGACGGUACCUAAUCAGAAAGCCACGGCUAACUACAUGCCAGCAGCCGCGGUAAUACGUAGGUGGCAAGCGUUAUCCGGAAUUAUUGGGCGUAAAGCGCGCGUAGGCGGUUUUUUAAGUCUGAUGUGAAAGCCCACGGCUCAACCGUGGAGGGUCAUUGGAAACUGGAAAACUUGAGUGCAGAAGAGGAAAGUGGAAUUCCAUGUGUAGCGGUGAAAUGCGCAGAGAUAUGGAGGAACACCAGUGGCGAAGGCGACUUUCUGGUCUGUAACUGACGCUGAUGUGCGAAAGCGUGGGGAUCAAACAGG